rnacentral:rRNA from 1 species
UACGUAGGUGACCAGCGUUGUCCGGAUUUCCUGGGCGUAAAGAGCGCGCAGGCGGUCGUUCAAGUCGAGUGUGAAAGCCCCCGGCUCAACUGGGGAGGGUCACUCGAUACUGCUCGACUUGAAGGCAGGAGAGGGAAGUGGAAUUCCCGGUGUAGUGGUGAAAUGCGUAGAUAUCGGGAGGAACACCAGUGGCGAAGGCGACUUCCUGGCCUGUUCUUGACGCUGAGGCGCGAAAGCUAGGGUAGCAAACGGG